GAUGAACGCUGGCGGCGUGCCUAAUACAUGCAAGUCGAGCGAACGGACGAGAAGCUUGCUUCUCUUCUGUUAGCGGCGGACGGGUGAGUAACACGUGGAUAACCUACCUAUAAGACUGGGAUACAUUCGGGAAACCCGAGCUAUUACCCGGCAAUAUUUUUAACCGCAUGGUUCAAAAUUGAUAGACGGUCUUGCUGUCAAUUAUACAUGUAUCCGCGCUGCAUUAGCUAGUUGGUAAGGUAAAGGCUUACCAAGCCAACGACACAUAGCCGAACUAGGAGAGUGAUUGACCACACUGGAACGAAACACCGGUCCAACCUCCUACGGUAGGCGGCGGUAGGGAAGCUUCCGCAAGGCACGAAAGCCGACCGCGGCAACGCGCGUUGAGGGUGGAGGGUCUUGGGAUCGUAAUACUCUGUUAUUAGGGAAGAACAUAUGUGUAAGUAUCUGUGCACAGCUUGACGGUACCCAAACAGAAAGCCACGGCUAACUACGUG
rnacentral:rRNA from 1 species